rnacentral:rRNA from 1 species
UGGGGAAUAUUGCACAAUGGGCGCAAGCCUGAUGCAGCGACGCCGCGUGAGGGAUGACGGCCUUCGGGUUGUAAACCUCUUUCAGCAGGGACGAAGCGCGAGUGACGGUACCUGCAGAAGAAGCACCGGCCAACUACGUGCCAGCAGCCGCGGUAAUACGUAGGGUGCGAGCGUUGUCCGGAAUUACUGGGCGUAAAGAGCUCGUAGGCGGUUUGUCGCGUCGUCUGUGAAAUUCUGCAGCUUAACUGCAGGCGUGCAGGCGAUACGGGCAGACUUGAGUACUACAGGGGAGACUGGAAUUCCUGGUGUAGCGGUGAAAUGCGCAGAUAUCAGGAGGAACACCGGUGGCGAAGGCGGGUCUCUGGGUAGUAACUGACGCUGAGGAGCGAAAGCGUGGGUAGCGAACAGGAUUAGAUACCCUGGUAGUCCACGCCGUAAACGGUGGGUACUAGGUGUGGGUUCCAUUUCACGGGAUCCGUGCCGUAGCUAACGCAUUAAGUACCCCGCCUGGGGAGUACGGCCGCAAGGCUAAAACUCAAAUGAAUUGAC